rnacentral:rRNA from 1 species
GACGAACGCUGGCGGCGUGCCUAAUACAUGCAAGUAGAACGCUGAAGGAGGAGCUUGCUUCUCUGGAUGAGUUGCGAACGGGUGAGUAACGCGUAGGUAACCUGCCUGGUAGCGGGGGAUAACUAUUGGAAACGAUAGCUAAUACCGCAUAAGAGUAGAUGUUGCAUGACAUUUGCUUAAAAGGUGCAAUUGCAUCACUACCAGAUGGACCUGCGUUGUAUUAGCUAGUUGGUGGGGUAACGGCUUACCAAGGCGACGAUACAUAGCCGACCUGAGAGGGUGAUCGGCCACACUGGGACUGAGACACGGCCCAGACUCCUACGGGAGGCAGCAGUAGGGAAUCUUCGGCAAUGGACGGAAGUCUGACCGAGCAACGCCGCGUGAGGGAAGAAGGGUUUCGGAUCGUAAAGAUCUGUUGUAAGAGAAGAACGAGUGUGAGAGUGGAAAGUUCACACUGUGACGGUAUCCUACCAGAAAGGGACGGCUAACUACGUG